UUUUCUAAAGGAAGUGUUCUAGGUAGUGUCCGGUCUGGAUCGGGAAGUGCUUGGGAGCAGCUGUGGCGUGGAUGGGCCGUGCCCUUGGGGAAGGCUGAGGACAUCGUUUGGGAGCAGCUUUUCUUGAGGCAGCAGAUGGCGUGAGCCGGGCUCUGCGGAUGCUGAGGCUGCUCUGGGCUCUGCCAGGGCUCUGCUGGGCUCAGCCCUGGGCACGGCUGGGCUCGCUCUGCCCUCACAUUGCUCUGAGAGCUUUGCACCAGACGAGCCCUUUCCAAGCACAGCGCCUGAGCUUUCUGCUUUUGCAGAAGUGCCACGAGUGGGCGAAACCUGGCGAGUGGGCCGUGUUCCUGAGACAGUGCGGUCUGGAGUUAAUGGCUGAAGAAUUGCCCUUCUGCACUUGUAAACCAGAGCAAAAAGCUAUAACGUUUUAUAAAAGGAAUGUCCUUUGCUGCUGGUUCCCAUGUGGAGCAGCUCCCUUCCCGCUGGCUGAGCUGCUCAGGGAGAGCUUGGCAGCUCCUGGCCCUGCAGGGCUGAGGCUUUUCCCCGUUGCUGAGCACAGACUGAUGGAGCAGCACUGCUGAACAUGAGGACACCCAGAGGGAGCAGAAGCAGCUGCCUUUGUCCACCUGAAGCUCCAAGGCCCAAACUCUGAGCACACAGGGCUGGAAGAGACUGGCAGGCUCCCUGUUUGCUGUGCUGCCCCACUUGUGCCCGGCCCAGCUCUGCGUGAGGCUGAGGGAGAACAAGGGGCAGCUCCCUGCCAGCCCCAGCCCAGGGACCCCUCCGGCCCCAGGGCUUGGGGCGCUGUCAGCACCCGCUGCUCCAGCCACCGCUUCUGCUGGCCCUGACAGCAACAAGCAAAUUGUGGCUGAUCCCCAGGGAGCAGCAGCAGUGCCUGGAUCUGAUCCCUCACUCUGGCGCAGGGCUGGACAAAGGACCCCCACAGCAGCAGCAGCACAUGGAGCUGACUUUCAGCACAGCCCCUGCCACUGUUCCCUCCCGUGUGCACUGGUGUCACAGCAGCCUGAGGCACCUGGGAGCCCUCAGGGCCAGCAGGGACUUGAGAUGGCAGCCCUGGGCUCCUGGGGGUUGUGCAAGGAACAGAGGUGGGGGCUCCUUCUCCACCUAGAGCUUCCAGAUGGAAAAGGCUGCUGUGAGCAGGCAGCUCCAAGGGCAGAGAAAGGAGGGUCUGGACCUCUGGAUCUGUGCCAGUUCAGCAUUGCUGAGCCUCUCCUUUUGUGCUCCUUUCCUGCUUUGAACCAGAGUAAAUGACACUGAUUCCUUCAGGUGGUGUGUGUGUCUUUGGUGCUGACCCUGCCCACUGGUUAAACAACACUGGCACAGUCUGGCCAGAUCACACCAAAAUGUCUCUUUUUCAAUGUAAAUGUGAGGAACCAGUCCCCUCCAAAAUUCUGGGAUGGGAAGACCUUCUCUAGAGGUCACUGGCUCUGGAGUGGACUGAGGUCUGAGCACUCUGCAAGCCAUGGGGGAGUCGCUCCAAAGAAGCUGAAGCACUGGAUGUAUUAAAAUGCAUCCAGAAAUUGCAUAUGGAGAAAGGGAAAGAACUUGUGGGUUUGGAAGAAAAAGCUGAAUUUUGUUUAAGAGCACAUUGGAAACAGCACUAACAGAAGGAACAAUUCUUGUUGGAACCCUGCAACAUGGAGCGACAGAAGAAGGUUUUAAUCUUGAGCUCAGAUGCAUUUGUG